CCAAGGAACCCAAAGGAACAAAGCGUUCACGCGAUAAGACAUAUUUGUUCCAAACAUUUGUGGUUUUAUGUACACAAGAAUUUUAAUUCAAGUGGAAAUUGUAAUGCAGAAUGACAACAAAAGAAAAUGUAACGAGAAAUUUAAGUUCCAUGGCGUUUUUUUCAGUAUAUAUAAGUAUAUAGGUAUGUAAGUAUUUGCAUGGGCUGGCCACACUGAUCGCUAAAUAGAAGGAAACGCGCUGUUGAAGAAUUAUAUUUGAUCACAUUUGCUUUUGUAUUCAAAAGUCAAACCCAGGUCCCCUUAGAAACUAACAAAAAUUUAUUAUUGCUAUAGAGAGCAAACAAGUAACAACUAAAAACAAAAAAUAUCACAUUCGUCAAAAAAUUGGAAAUUCUAAAUUUAAAAAAUUUUUGUAAAAGUUUUAUUUUAUAUCCAUUCAUAUAGAAUGGAAACACCAAAAUUCUCACGUCUAUUGCGAUAUUGAAUUGCGAGCCACGAGCAGAGCCUAUCAUCAGCUCACGUCUGAUCCGCAAGUUGAUUAUUAUUCUGCUUCCUACUGAACUCCUCCUGCUGCUCCUUGCUAUGCCAAUACAGACGUGCCCGCGCCACCACGACAACUGCAACACGAACUUGAACAAGGCAGGUGUGAGAUUGAGGCAUAAGACGCAAGAUGCAAAAACUGGCCACAUCAUUUCAAAGGUGAGAAAAUAUCGUGGAACAUCUGACUCGAGGUUUUCGCUACCCGAUUGCUUGCAUGUGAGGCUCGGGGUUUUCUGGAAUGCAGCAUACAGCACACAGAUGUAGCCAAGGAUAUACAGUCGAAAUUCGCUCAAUUCGCUUCUCUCACCUGUCUGUGUACAGCUCCACGUC